rnacentral:tRNA from 1 species
UAUGUGGCUCAGUCGGUAGAGCACCACCUUGGUAAGGCGGAGGUCACGGGUCCGAGUCCCGUCAUCA